UACGUAGGGUGCGAGCGUUGCCCGGAUUUAUUGGGCGUAAAGGGCGCGUAGGCGGCUCGGCACGUCCGUUGUGAAAUCGCCCGGCUCAACUGGGCGGGGUCAGCGGAUACGGUCGAGCUUGAGCAAGCUAGGGGGCAAUGGAAUUCCCGGUGUAGUGGUGGAAUGCGUAGAUAUCGGGAGGAACACCAGUGGCGAAGGCGACUACCUGGCCUGUUCUUGACGCUGAGGCGCGAAAGCUAGGGUAGCAAACGGG
rnacentral:rRNA from 1 species